CCCGCUGAUCGGAAAGACGGGGGACGCCAGUCCGGCUGGCUUCCCCCAUCCC
rnacentral:sRNA from 1 species